ensembl:lncRNA
GGCACAGCCACUCGGCUGCCUGCAGUGGCAGUGGCUACUCUGACGGAUCAAACCCAAGGCCUUCACAGUCAGCCACACCCCGGGCUACUUCUGAGGGGGGCACUGGGCCAGUCUCAGGCUGGGGGUGCAGGGAGCACCCAGGAGGCCUGGGAAGAGGACGGAUCCUUGGACAGUGGGCUGGGACAGCAGGGCCGAAGCGGGCUGGGGCGGGAGGCAGGGUGAUGCCCAGACCUUACUUCUUGCUCUGGGCCCGGGUGCCCAGGAUGGAAGUUUCCAAUGACGGGGUCUUCUGUGUGACACUCCCAGCCGCAGCUGGCCCUGCAGGGCUGUACUGGCCCAGCCUGGACAGAGCAGGCCAGGGUCCAGGGCUCAGCCGCCAGGGUGUGCAGGACCAUGGGCUCAGCACUGCUGAGCCCCACUAGGGACCCGAGGCUACCAGGAGAGGGGACAGAAGGAGCCAGAGAGAGGCCCGAGAGGAACAUGGGCAGGCAGAGGGGAGAGGCCCGGCUGGGGACUCACAGCGAAGGCCAUGGUGCCAGCUCUGCAAGUGGCCAGCCUGGGGAUAACAGGGCGUCCCUCAUGGGGUACAGCGUGCUGAUCCUCGCUGGUGCUCUGGGGUGGCGAGGCUCCAGGCCAGGAGGGAGGCCAGGGCCCUGCAGGGACGGGCUCUGGACCCCUGGCAGAACACUGAGGACUCCGUGGAGGUGUGGAUACCCCUGCACCCUGCAGCCCAGGGAUAGAACUUGGGACCUUGUGCUUGUGAGGCAGGUGGUGGAACCACUGAGCCAAAUCCCCAGCUCUGUUUUUCUUUUUUAGAUGGGUAAGCAUUCUUUGACUGCUGUUUCUUUACCUUAAGAUCAGGUUCCUGCUUUUCACCUUCUCAGCCAAGCCAAUUUAUGGACUCGCAGUGUCCUUAAGGAAUAUGGAAUCUGAAGGCUUUGAAAGGAAAGAGCAUCCGUUAACCCAGGGGAUCUGAAAUGGAUCCCUUGGGUGACCCUGGCUGCAUCUCGAAGUUGCAGCCUUAGCUAUGGCUUCUGUUGUCUCCAUCUGUAUUUCCUAUGCCCAACCACAGGCCCACGUCCUCCUUCACCACAACAGCUGGUGACAGGGAGCCAGAGCCACCCAGGGGCAGGGCAGGGGCAGCCUGGCCGGAACUGUCCCUUAUGGUACUUUCUGUCCAGGCACCACCCCUGUGCCAGGCACCGAGGGAGCCGGGACGGAGGCCAGGGAGGCCGUGAGGGCAGUCCCUGCCGCAUGGGGGUCAGGUCUGAGCAGGGCAGGGUCCCUGAACCCUGGCUCGGGGGAGGAUGGUGACCUGUGGCCGGGGUGGGGCGGAUAAGGCCCCAUCAAUCACCUGGGCCGGCUCCCUUGCCUGGGGCUCCUUCCAGCUGCCUGGGGCCUCCGGAGCCUGAGGGGGGUAGGCCCAGUGCCCCAGACGCCAUUCGGGGUGUGGGUGAGGGUCGGGGCCCUGAUGUGCACUGGGAACUGAGACCCGGGAGGGGCGGCUCCUGCCCCACGUCCCCCGGGUCUGAUGCCGCUGCAGCCUGGGCUUUGUGGGGGUGGCAGGGAGCCGGGAGAGGGGCUGAGGGCUCUGCUUCAGCUCGGUCUGUGGUGGCAGCGGGCUGGGCCUUUCUCGGGGCCUCAGUUCUCCGAGAGUGAAGUGUGACCU